rnacentral:rRNA from 1 species
CAAUUUGAAAUCUGGUACCUUCGGUGCCCGAGUUGUAAUUUGGAGAGGGCAACUUUGGGGCCGUUCCUUGUCUAUGUUCCUUGGAACAGGACGUCAUAGAGGGUGAGAAUCCCGUGUGGCGAGGAGUGCGGUUCUUUGUAAAGUGCCUUCGAAGAGUCGAGUUGUUUGGGAAUGCAGCUCUAAGUGGGUGGUAAAUUCCAUCUAAAGCUAAAUAUUGGCGAGAGACCGAUAGCGAACAAGUACAGUGAUGGAAAGAUGAAAAGAACUUUGAAAAGAGAGUGAAAAAGUACGUGAAAUUGUUGAAAGGGAAGGGCAUUUGAUCAGACAUGGUGUUUUGUGCCCUCUGCUCCUUGUGGGUAGGGGAAUCUCGCAUUUCACUGGGCCAGCAUCAGUUUUGGUGGCAGGAUAAAUCCAUAGGAAUGUAGCUUGCCUCGGUAAGUAUUAUAGCCUGUGGGAAUACUGCCAGCUGGGACUGAGGACUGCGACGUAAGUCAAGGAUGCUGGCAUAAUGGUUAUAUGCCGCCCGUCU